GACCCCAGGUCAGGCGGGACUACCCGCUGAGUUUAAGCAUAUCAAUAAGGAGAGGAAAAGAAACUUACAAGGAUUCCCCUAUUAACGGUGAAUGAACCGGGAAUAGCCCAACUUGAGAAUCGGGCGGCCACGUCGUCCGA
rnacentral:rRNA from 1 species